AAUCUUCAUCUUCUAGGUGUAAGGAGUACUACCAGCUGGUAGCUCUGCAAGAAAAGCAGUAAACAUGAAUACAAUCGAAACAAGACUCCAAAAUCGCAUAAAUUCCAACCUUGACUGAUCGCACUGGCUUAACGGUGGCAAUCAUUCGGAGGCAAAUGACCUGGCCCGACAGGAAUCCCCAAGAAACCAAACAGAUUCAGAUCAGUCUCUCGACAGCUACUGAUGAUGUCGGCGAGUUGAAUCCAUCGAUUUUCACACAGAAAAUCAACAUCAAAAAAUCACGACAAUUCAGCAGCGUCAUGGUCAACCUGCCGAUCAACCAUUCACAGUGAACAACCUCUAUUCGUAGCGGAAGCGAUCUCUGCGUUGUCGACAAUGCGAACACAAUGUCAUCAAGCCGGAGUACCAACCGGGGCUCUUACAUUGCAACAGUGCGCGGACAUCAGUGUAAAUGCGAGGCAGCGGCUACUGCUGUAGACGAAGCUGACACCGCCUACAUAGAAGAGGUGAUACGAAUGCCGCUUUAUAAGGAACUUGUAGCGACAAUAUAGUACCUCCUAAAUGAUGGGAGUCGGAAAUCAUUGUUUUGUAUGUACUAUUUUAGAAUUCCCUGAGUCAACUUUGAUUCGAGAUUUCCUUAUAUAAUGAAAAUUAAUUUUUUUAUAUAGAAGGCUUAUGAUGGCAAGACAACUACAAACAACAAAUCGAAGCGGUAUUGCAACAAAUCCUGAAGUGAAGAUGAUUAUAGUCGACGACAUGCUUUCAAUCGCAUCCUUAAUAAUCAAGGUUCGCGGCGCAGCUAGUUUUUAAAUACAUUUGUAAUUAUUUUUCAAAAUUGUAUGUAAUUUAGUAUAAUUUAAUUUUGUUUUAAAUUCAACGCUAAUAAUGUAUUUGCACUUAAAAAACAAUAUCUGUCUGUUAAAAUGUAACUUCUUGUUUUUGAAUAAAUAAAAAAGA